GAAAAUUGUCUAUACAAACCCAAAAUGGUUCUCUUGGGCAACCUGCAAAGGACUAGUGGUGGAGCACCCGGUUAUCUCAAGCUGAAAUUCUAUGCCUUACUGCUACACAUACCCUCCUGGGCAGGGAACACAUCACUAAAGAGACUUUAAUAACCUCCAAGUCUACAGGUUUCAGCUUGCAAUGCUUCCCAGACCUCAGUAAAUGGGAGGAGGAGCUGGAGAAGGAAAUGAAGACAAUUUACACUGCGGUCUUGGAGGCUCACCGCUAGGGGCAGAGUGGGUUGUACUCGCCAGGUUAAAACAACUCCCAGACAACCUAUUCACGUGAGAGCUCAAAGCAGCCAUAAUUUUCUGCACUCAAAAUCUUUCCGGUAAGUUUCUCCGCGUAUUGUCUCCUUGGUAAUUGGAAAACAUGGGACUGGGAGUGCAAUUGCAGGGCAUCUCCAGUCCUCCAGGAUACGAUCUGGCUGCUACAGAAGAGGACCAGGAGGAAGCUCUGCUCAGAAAAAGGAUAGAAAGGCAGCAUGGAAACCCUGCUUCAAGGAAACACGAGAUUCACUAUGCUCUUGGCGAACCUCCCGCGAAAAGAGACUUCUAGGGAGGAAGGAUCCCCAGAGAGGCUCCCUGACCACUGCAAGCACUUCUCAAAGGGCUUGAAGGAGCUCAACGAAAAAACCCCAUUGCUGCCCAAGACUUCUGAGAGCCAAACUGGUAGAUUUGUGCAACCUGCAGUGAAAUUGUCCACACUAUACGCAAAGAUUAAACUCUGUGUCUUUAUAAGCAGGCAGAAAGGAUUCCAGCUUCCUUAGGUGUUCGCUGAUUGGGAUCCAGAAGCCCGCAACAAAUGGAUUCGCUUCCUCCUUUGUGCUUUCUCCUCCAGGGAGGAAGGAUCCCCAGAGAGGCUCCCUGACCACUGCAAGCACUUCUCAAAGGGCUUGAAGGAGCUCAACGAAAAAACCCCAUUGCUGCCCAAGACUUCUGAGAGCCAAACUGGUAGAUUUGUGCAACCUGCAGUGAAAUUGUCCACACCGAUACACAAAGGUUAAACUCUGUGCCUUUAUAAGCAGGCAGAAAGGAUUCCAGUUUCCUUAGGUGUUCGCUGAUUGGGAUCCGGAAGACCACAGCAAAUGGAUUCGCUUCCUCCUUUGUGCUUUCUCCUCCAGGGCGGAGGGAGAGAACCUGGAAGAAGCCUAUCUUGGCAUUCUUGAUACUACACUGCCAUCCAGCGGAAUUACUUUGCUGUACUGCCACCACCUCUAUGAAGCUUUUUCUCAGCCUAUCUGAAAGUGAGUUGUGAGUGCCCAGGACUUCUGGUUCAAAUACUGAAUCAGCAAUCAAUGAACAAAUGAAGGUACGUCCAGCCAACUGACCUGUUCUGGGGUUAGACAGGGUUUGUUUUUGGAGUAAUAAAUUCAGCUACUCGGGAAUUUGGCUCCAGCUGCAGAUGUAGCAGAGGAGAUGGCUUUGCUUGGCAUCAAUAGGAGGAGAUGCCCUUGGUCCUAUAAAGGCUAAAUACCCCAGUGUAGGGGAAUACCAGAGAUUUGAGGUGAGAGUGGGUACAUCCUCAUAGAACCAGGUAGAUGAGGGAGGGGAAUGGGAGGGGAGAAUAACAUUUGAAAUGUAAAUACAUAAAAUAUUCAAUUAAAAAAAACCAGUAGGAUUAAUUCAGAAAGACUGGUGGUCAGAAAAACUCAACCACAUUGUAGUCUCCUGGCAAAGAGAAACCCCAGGGUCAAGGUCAAAAUGACUCCUCCACCAUGUGGUGACUGUUUUAAGUAGGAAGCUGACCUGUUCAACCAGAGGAAUCAUGGGUAGAAUAAGUCCCAACUUUGACAGGUGGCAGAAAUGGAGCUAUAUUCUCCUAGACUUCAGAGUAAGCUAGCUGUGUGUUCCUGUGUUUUACACUUGCAUCUCAAGAUGUCCUCUGCAGAGGAAGCAAGGUCAUAGAGUAUCCAGAAUCCAUGGCAAAGUCUCUUGCCUCUAGUAGGUUGGAAGACAUUACUAAACUCAGACACAGGAACAUGGUUAGUCUACAGUGUAAGUCUUUUAGAGACUCAACCUCUGCAUAGAAUAGAUGGGUACACCUGACAGGCAGUGCUCAGAUCACUGAGCAGUGUCAUUCUGUUCCGUUGGGAGGUGCAAGUCUUUGUUUUCGAUGCUCUGCCCAAGACCCUUCCCUUGAAAGUGUGUGAAAGGUGCCAGGUCCAGUCUUUAGGUAUGUCUUGCCUUGGGCCAGUGAGAACUUGUAGCAAGACAGUCAGGCACAAGAGCUUCAUCCAUAUCUCCAUAAUGAAAUUUGCUCUACCUCAGAAGCUCCCUCUUGUGUAUCUUAAGGCCUUCUUUCUCAGGGAAAUUACAUGCUUCACAAUAGUCACAAAUAUUAUAAAAUACCCUGGGGUAACUCUAACCAAACGAGUGAAGGUUCUGUAUAUAACAACUUCAAGUCUCUAAAUAAAUAAAUAAAUAAAUAGGAAGAAGAGCUCAGAAAAUGGAGAGAUAUCCCACAAUUAUGAACUAGUAGGCUAAACCUAGUAAAAUGGCCAUCUUAACAAAAUCAGUUUACAGAUUAAAUGCAAUCCCCAUCAAAAUCCCAACACAAUUCAUUAAAAACAUGGAAAAAGCAAUUCUCAAUUUCAUGCUGCACAUGAUUUUUAAAAACCAAGAUCCACAUACAAGUAGUACUAUUUCCCUGUGAGAAAAUGAAAUACGGGCAAAUAUCUUUUCUGGCAGAGGCUGAGUAGGAUAGUGGAAAGUAUUGUUUAUAGACAACGAGAUCAUAAUAUUUUCCAGGAACGGUCAAAGAGAUGGAAUACAGCCAGAACUGAGGAGCUAGUGGGUUGGUAGCAGCUGGGAUAGGCUAACAGUUCUUUGAAAUUUACUAGUUCCCAGUUAGGUUCAAUGGGAGCCUACUGUUUCAUUAGAGUCUGAAAUUGCCUCAACACAAAAUCUCAUGUGAGCAGCCAGUACUGGUGCAUACCUUUAAUCACAGCACAUAGGAGGCAGAGUUAUGCAGAUUUCUUGGAGUUCAAGGUCAGCCUGGUCAACAACACAAGUUUCAGGAGAGCCUGACCUGCUACAGAGAGAAACUCUGUCUCGGAAAACAAAAGGUUGGGGCAAAACAGCUCAUGUGAGCUAUGCAAGAUGGCUGACAGACACAACUGAGUACACAGACAGGGUCCUAGAAUUCUUAGGCUAGGGUCUCAGGGAAAGAAAACCAAAGGGUUCUGAUGACAGUUGUCCUUUCUCCUCUUUCUCCUCUGGUUCUCUUCCAUGGUCUGAGGAACUGGGGCUGUGAAAAUAGAAACAAUCCCUAUGUAUUCUCUACUCUGCACAAGCUGGAGUCUCCUCAUCCUUGGCCAUGUGUGGGAAAUUUCCAAUCUGAGGUCUUUGGAUCCUUAAGCCAAUAGAACAGAAUAGAGAGGAGAGCUGCUAACCAAACACUUCGGUCUUCUUGUCUAAAGAUCUCAACUUAUGGAGUCCAUGACCCUGGAUUUGCAUGGGUGGAUGUUCUGGGCCAUUGCUACAUCAUGGAUGUUUUCCCGGCCUGUGGGUUGUGUGGGGACCUGAUUUGAUGCUGAACCCCGGAUUCCAAGUCCAAGACAAAGAGAGCUCUCCCAGCAAAACUCCUGAAGUACAGCAGAAGAAUAAAGGGAAUAAAAAGGAAGCCAAAAGACAGAAAAUACAGAAAGGAAGGGAAGAAAAAAAGCAGAGACAACAGGCUGAGUAUCUAAGAGUGGAAGGAGGGAAGGAAUGAAAAAGAGGGAGUAAUGGAAGUGAGAGUAGGGUAGAGAGUAUGAUGAAUUGAAAGGACUGACAUAUUUUUGACCUCUAGAUGGCAUUUCUCGAGACCCUGAAGCUCAUGAACAAAGUCCAGAAUCUCAUGGGCACUGGCUGAUUCCAAGAAAUGAGAUAUAUAUGCAGAAAGGUAUCUAAAAAACAGGUCAGAGGCAAUUGGGGGAGAUUCCUAACCUUGAUCAGCAAGUUACCCACAUAUCUGUGCCCCAGUUGAUGAAUCCGAAAUAGUGUUCCUCAUCACUGUGCAAACAUGGCCGCCUCGAGAUCACAAAGCCCAUAUUCGCAAGUAGCUGAAUUUAUUACUCAGAGAAGCAAGCUGGCUAACCGCAGAACCUGCCAGUUGGCUCAAGCUACCUUCACUUUAAUAUUUGAACCAGAAGCUGAAGCACUCCUCACCCACUACCAGACUUGCCAAGGAAAAGCUUAUGGAGGUGUUGAUAAGAACAGCAAAGCAAUUCCACUGGAUGGCAGUGUAGUAUCAAGAAUGUGAAGAUACCCUUCUUACAGGUUCUCUCCCUCCGCCCUUCUUGGAGUGAAAAAAAAAAAAAACUGAAACAGUUCAACAUAACACUUGACUCUGAUAUAUGUUAGAUAGAAAUUGGUUCCUUAUGUCUACAGUACCUAUUAUCACUGAUCUGACCUGGGUGGUCUCUGUUUCAGUGUAUUAAGAUAUUCUCCCACAAGGACAGGGACCAUCCUCAAGGCAUAAGGGCCAAACAGGAAAACCCAAUGAGGAUCCCUUCCCCUGGAUGCAAGGGUCAGGAGAAGCCAUAGAAACAAACUUCUAGCCAGAGACUUAGUCUGGGGCACAGUACAGCACCAUCAGUUCAGCACUCGAGUUCGCACUAAAUUGGGAACUGCAAAGCUAGAAAGAAGAGUCAGAAGACGCAAUACAUAUAAAUUCUUCAGAAGAAACGGGACCUUGGGCUGAGUACAAGUCCCUCCUGUGCUACCAAGAUAUAUCUAUUCUUCAGUCCUUUGCCCCCAGACAUUUUGAGAGAAAACACACUGAAUUAUUGGUGGGAACAUUAAGAACAGAUCACUUGCUGACAGUAUUGAACCAAGAAGCCAAGGUACCCAUCUUUCAGGUUCUCUCCCUCCACCCUUCUUUGAUAAACAACAACAACAACAACAACACCACACACGCACACACACACACACACACACACACACACACACACACACACACACACAUUUUGCCAAUAAAUCCCAAGUUGACUGACCUUAAUCAUGGCCUCCUUUGGCCAGAGAUGGGCUUUGGAGCUUCACUGUAUACAUACUGUCUCGGAGGUCACAGGCCACACAAGUUCCUCAUUCCCAGUCCAACACAAGAACGUGGCAUGCCCUCAGAAACAUACAGGAAAACUAAGAGCAAUGGUCAAAAGAAGGUCUACAAAUACAUUCUUAGGCAGAAACUUGACCUUGGGCAACAUAUGACUCACUCACAUCUUUCCAGAAAUAAUCUGACUGGCCCAUAUGUACAUAACUUAUAACUGGAAUUUUGUCAGUGAGUGCCAAGGUAAACCAUAGAGUGUUCAGUCCUCCCACGGGGAAGAAGAGAUUGUAUAGCCAUUCGACAACCAAGCUUCUAGUUCAAGGCUACCUGAUUCUUCUCCCUACACAUACAUACCAGGCUCCUGACAGGAAAAGUUGGAAGGACAAAUAAGGAAGACAGUUGGAACAAUAGAGACAACCAGCUAUUCAAACAGAGUCAAGGGCCAGUGAUACAUUCAAACCUAGAAGAAGGAGAUGCCAGGUUGUAGUGAAGAAGAAAAAAAAAAACCACACACACACACACACACACAGAUGCUUUCCUUUUUGAGUGCCCUAGUUCCUUUUUUACAAACCAGAGUCAAAAUAAAAACUACAACUGUCACCCAAACUCUUUGGUCUUCUUGUCCAGAGAACCCAACCUGUGCAUUCCCAGACCUUGUCUGUACUUCCUGUCAGCCAUAUUGUAAAGUUCAUGUGAGUUUUUUGUGUUAAGUCACUUUAUCCUCUAAUGAAACAUUGGGCUUCUAGAAUAUUCACCUGGGAACUAUGUCAAAGAACUGUUAGCCCUACAGAUACUACGUCAGAGUAAAAGGUUGGGAAAAAAGGUCUUCCAAGCAAAUGGUCCCAAGAAACAAGCUGGAGUUGCCAUCCUAAUAUCCAAUAAAAUACACUUUCAACCAAAAGUUAUCAAGCAAGAUCAUCAAGAAUAAAAAUCCACCAUGAGAAAGUCUCAAUUCUGAACAUCUAUACCCCAAAUGCAUGUGCUCCCACAUUCAUAAACUUUACUAAAGCUCAAAACACACAUUGAACCCUACACAAUAAUAGAGACUUAGUCACCCCACUCUCGCAG
ensembl:lncRNA